UCUAUCUUGACUCUUAAAAAAGUGAAAACACCCGAACUUUUCAAAAUUCGAUUCGUGACCCCUUUUAUUACCAUAUGUACUAAAAAAUUUGGGAGACGUGGUAAAAGUCAAGAUGU
rnacentral:rRNA from 1 species